rnacentral:rRNA from 1 species
GACGAACGCUGGCGGCGUGCUUAACACAUGCAAGUCGAACGAAAACGCCCUGCUUAUUGGCGCUCCUCUGGUUGCGAACGGGUGAGUUACCCUUGAGUACCCUGCACCUCACUGUGGGGUAACCUCAUAAAACUUGGGCUCAUAGCAGCUAAGAGUUCUCGCCGCUGGGUGGGGGUUCGUAAGAUUCGGCGGUUGGUGAUGGACUAGCGGCUUAUCGGCUUGUUGGUGGGGUAGUGGCAUACCAUGGCCUUGACGGGUAGGCGGCCUGAGAGGGUGACCGGCCACAUUAGGACUGAGAUACGGCCCAGACUCCUACGGGAGGCAGCAGUGGAGAAUAGUGUACAAUGGGCGGAAGCCUGAUGCAGCAACGCCGCGUGCGGGAUGACGGCCUUCGGGUUGUAAACCGCUUUCGCCUGUGACGAAGCGUGAGUGACGGUAAUGGGUAAAGAAGCACCGGCUAACUACGUG